GAUGAACGCGGCGGCGUGCUAAUACAUGCAAGUAGAACGCUGAAGCUUGGUGCUUGCACCGAGCGGAUGAGUUGCGAACGGGUGAGUAACGCGUAGGUAACCUGCCUCUGAGCGGGGGAUAACUAUGGAAACGAUAGCUAAUACCGCAUAAAAGUCGAUAUCGCAUGAUGUUGACUUGAAAGGUGCAAUUGCAUCACUAAGAGAUGGACCUGCGUUGUAUUAGCUAGUUGGUGAGGUAACGGCUCACCAAGGCGACGAUACAUAGCCGACCUGAGAGGGUGAUCGGCCACACUGGGACUGAGACACGGCCCAGACUCCUACGGGAGGCAGCAGUAGGGAAUCUUCGGCAAUGGGGGCAACCCUGACCGAGCAACGCCGCGUGAGUGAAGAAGGUUUUCGGAUCGUAAAGCUCUGUUGUAAGAGAAGAACGAGUGUGAGAGUGGAAAGUUCACACUGUGACGGUAACUUACCAGAAAGGGACGGCUAACUACGUGCCAGCAGCCGCGGUAAUACGUAGGUCCCGAGCGUUAUCCGGAUUUAUUGGGCGUAAAGCGAGCGCAGGCGGUUAGAUAAGUCUGAAGUUAAAGGCUGUGGCUUAACCAUAGUACGCUUUGGAAACUGUUUAACUUGAGUGCAGAAGGGGAGAGUGGAAUUCCAUGUGUAGCGGUGAAAUGCGUAGAUAUAUGGAGGAACACCGGUGGCGAAAGCGGCUCUCUGGUCUGUAACUGACGCUGAGGCUCGAAAGCGUGGGGAGCAAACAGG
rnacentral:rRNA from 1 species